UCUCCUCUUGAAGAUUUUCAGGGUACAUGAUUGCACCACCUCUGGAGGGGGUUUAUUCCACAGUCUGGAGACCCUGAUUGUGAAGAAAUUUUCCCUAGUAUUAAGCCUGAAAUGGUCUUCCAGGAGUUUGUGCCCAUUACUCCUGGUUUCCCCAAGGGUACCCUGGUGAAUAGGUGCUCACUGAGCCCUUGAUGUACUCCCCUAGUUUAGUGGUAAGCUGCUACCAGGUCUCCUCUCAGCCU